rnacentral:rRNA from 1 species
CCAUGCUWGUUUUCCGCGAGGAAGCAAAAGGCUGAGUAACACGUAGGUAACCUGCCUUCAGGUGGGGUAUAGCCUCGAGAAAUUGAGGGUAAUCCCCCAUAGGUUUAGGAUAUUGGAAUAUUCCUAAACCAAAAGCUUCGGCGCCUGAAGAUGGGCCUGCGACCUAUCAGGCUGUUGGUGGGGUAAUGGCCCACCAAACCAUUGACGGGUAGGGGCAGUGAGAGCUGGAGCCCCCAGACGGGAACUGAGACACGGUCCCGAGCCCUACGGGGUGCAGCAGGCGCGAAACCUCCGCAAUGCACGCAAGUGUGACGGGGGGAUUCCAAGUGUUCUUGUUUUACAAGAACUUUUCUUAAUUGUAAACAGUUUGAGGAAUAAGGGCUGGGUAAGACGGGUGCCAGCAGCCGCGGUAAUACCCGCAGCUCAAGUGGUCUGGAGUUUUAUUGGGUCUAAAGCGUUCGUAGCUGGGUCUAUAAGUUCUCUGUGAAAUCUAACGGCUUAACCGUUAGGCGUGCAGAGGAUACUGUAGACCUUGAGACUGGGAUGGGUCAAGGGUACUCUCGGGGUAGGGGUGAAAUCCAAUAAUCCUGAGGGGACCACCUGUGGCGAAGGCGCUUGGCUAGAACAGGUCUGACAGUGAGGGACGAAAGCUAGGGGAGCGAACGGGAUUAGAUACCCCGGUAGUCCUAGCCGUAAAUGAUGCAUACUAGGUGUUGCAUUCCUUUAGAGGGGAUGCAGUGCCGUAGGGAAGCCGUUAAGUAUGCCACCUGGGAAGUACGGUCGCAAGGCUGAAACUUAAAGGAAUUGACGGGGGAGCACCACAAGGGGUGGAGUCUGCGGUUUAAUUGGAUUCCAACGCCGGGAAAGCCGAAUUCCAGCACACUGGCGGCCGUUACUAGUGGAUCCGAGCUCGGUACCAAGCUUGGCGUAAUCAUGGNUCAUAGCUGUUUCCUGUGUGAAAUUGUUAUCCGCUA